CAGACACUAGCUAUGUAACCCCAGGCUAGUCACUUAACCCAGUUUGCUUCAGGUUCUUUAUCUGUAAAAUGAACUGGAGAAGGAGUUGGCAAACCACUCCAGUAUCUUUGCAAAGAAAACUCCAAAUGAGGUCAUAAAGAGUCAUACAUGACUGAAAAACAACUAAACAACAAUGAAAAGAUUUUAGAGUUCUUGAACAGGGAGGUGGUGCAUUUAAGGGUGAUUAUAAGAUCAAGGGUAUGAUAAUAUUUUUACACAGCUGAGAUGGAGUGGAGGUGGUUCAUAGGACAUGAGUUAAUGGAGGACCUUGGCGGUUAGGGUGAUUGAGGGGGUAUCAUUAUGCAUGUUGAAGUCACCUCUUAUGAAGGCAGGAGUUGGGGAAGAAUGAAAGAAUAUGAAACAGAAAGGAAAAUUCCUAGAAGGAAAUGCUUCAGUCCUUCCCUGAAGUCAUCACUGGCCCCAUUGCUUCAUGAUCGUCUUCAGAUGGCCAUACCAGGAGUCCAUCCUUCCUCCAAAUCCCUGUGGGACAGGGUCUAGUACAUUUUUAGGCAAAAGGAGCAGACUAUUAUUAUCAAUCACAGCAGCAUUACAAUUAGUAAUGGCGAUUUUUUUUCCUGCUCAUUUGCAUCAUGGGCUGUACAUGAAGCUCCGAGGAUUUGCACGUGGGCAUUUUAAAACAGAUGGAAGAAAUAAGCGAAAUGAGAAACAUGGGAUAUCUUUGUGGCCAGUGAACCAACAACUUAUGUCCAAGGAAUUGGGAGAGAGUUCAUUAUUUGUCAUUGGUUCACCAACAGGGCAGCCCUUCUAGUGUCUGAACAAGAGUCUCCCGACACCUUAUCCUUCUCUUUUCCAGGAUCAAAACUAGAGUUUUUCCACCAGUUUCUCCACUUCUGAAUUCUGUAAUGAGGCUGAUUCCCUCCCAAUUUGGCUCCAAUACAAUUUUAUCUGACCUUGCUGCCACUCCUGUGUGUACCUUGGCUCCUCUGAAGCUGCCCAGUCCUGAUGUCUGACCUGAUCCUGACCCAGGACACCCAUUGUCCCUUGCCCUGGCUAGUUGUCUCCAUGCUUGCAGUCUUUACCUCACCCUCCUAUGGCAUCCUGACAUUGGACUCUACUUUAAAGGGGAAAGAGUAUCAUCAGGAUUUUAGUCUCAUUAACAGUAUGAUUUUAU
rnacentral:lncRNA from 1 species